rnacentral:rRNA from 1 species
GACGAACGCUGGCGGCGUGCUUAACACAUGCAAGUCGAACGGAAAGGCACUGCUUUUGUGGGGUGCUCGAGUGGCGAACGGGUGAGUAACACGUGAGUAACCUGCCCUUGACUUUGGGAUAACUUCAGGAAACUGGGGCUAAUACCGGAUAGGAGCUCCUGCUGCAUGGUGGGGGUUGGAAAGUUUCGGCGGUUGGGGAUGGACUCGCGGCUUAUCAGCUUGUUGGUGGGGUAGUGGCUUACCAAGGCUUUGACGGGUAGCCGGCCUGGGAGGGUGACCGGCCACAUUGGGACUGAGAUACGGCCCAGACUCCUACGGGAGGCAGCAGUGGGGAAUAUGACACAAUGGGCGGAAGCCUGAUGCAGCAACGCCGCGUGCGGGAUGACGGCCUGCGGGUUGUAAACCGCUUUCGCCUGUGACGAAGCGUGAGUGACGGUAAUGAGUAAAGAAGCACCGGCUAACUACGUG